rnacentral:rRNA from 1 species
CGGCCUUGACAUACUAAGAACUUUCCAGAGAUGGAUUGGUGCCUUCGGGAACUUAGAUACAGGUGCUGCAUGGCUGUCGUCAGCUCGUGUCGUGAGAUGUUGGGUUAAGUCCCGCAACGAGCGCAACCCUUUUCCUUAUUUGCCAGCGGGUCAUGCCGGGAACUUUAAGGAUACUGCCAGUGACAAACUGGAGGAAGGCGGGGACGACGUCAAGUCAUCAUGGCCCUUACGGCCAGGGCUACACACGUGCUACAAUGGUCGGUACAAAGGGUUGCUACCUCGCGAGAGGAUGCUAAUCUCAAAAAGCCGAUCGUAGUCCGGAUCGCAGUCUGCAACUCGACUGCGUGAAGUCGGAAUCGCUAGUAAUCGCGGAUCAGAAUGCCGCGGUGAAUACGUUCCCGGGCCUUGUACACACCGCCCGUCACACCAUGGGAGUUUGUUGCACCAGAAGUAGGUAGUCUAACCGCAAGGAGGACGCUUACCACGGUGUGGCCGAUGACUGGGGUGAAGUCGUAACAAGGUAAGCGUAGAUGA